rnacentral:rRNA from 1 species
UUCGGAUCGCAGGCUGAAACCCGACCUGCGUGAAGUUGGAAUCGCUAGUAAUCGCGGAUCAGAAUGCCGCGGUGAAUACGUUCCCGGGUCUUGUACACACCGCCCGUCACACCAUGGGAGUCGGAAAUGCCCGAAGUCUGUGACCCAACCUUAGGGAGGGAGCAGCCGAAGGCAGGUCGGAUGACUGGGGUGAAGUCGUAACAAGGUACC